AUUGAACGCUGGCGGCAGGCCUAACACAUGCAAGUCGAGCGAGCGGCGGACGGGUGAGUAAUGUAUGGGGACUGCCCGAUAGAGGGGGAUAACUACUGGAAACGGUGGCUAAUACCGCACACUGUCGGAUAACCCAUAUGGGAUUCGCUAGUAGGUAAGGUAAUGGCUUACCCGGGCGACGACCCCUAGCUGGUCUGAGCGGAUGAUCAGCCACGCUGGGACUGAGACACGGCCCAGACUCCUACGCAGGCAGCAGUGGGGAAUAUUGCACAAUGGGCGCAAGCCUGAUGCAGCCAUGCCGCGUGUAUGAAGAAGGCCCUAGGGUUGUAAAGUACUUUCAGUCGGGAGGCGUUACCGACAGAAGAAGCACCGGCUAACUCCGUGCCAGCAGCCGCGGUAAUUC
rnacentral:rRNA from 1 species